rnacentral:rRNA from 1 species
CCUACGGGCGGCAGCAGUGAGGAAUAUUGGUCAAUGGACGAGAGUCUGAACCAGCCAAGUAGCGUGAAGGAUGACUGCCCUAUGGGUUGUAAACUUCUUUUAUAUGGGAAUAAAAUGUUCCACGUGUGGGAUUUUGUAUGUACCAUAUGAAUAAGGAUCGGCUAACUCCGUGCCAGCAGCCGCGGUAAUACGGAGGAUCCGAGCGUUAUCCGGAUUUAUUGGGUUUAAAGGGAGCGUAGGUGGAUGGUUAAGUCAGUUGUGAAAGUUUGCGGCUCAACCGUAAAAUUGCAGUUGAAACUGGCAGUCUUGAGUACAGUAGAGGUGGGCGGAAUGCGUGGUGUAGCGGUGAAAUGCUUAGAUAUCACGAAGAACUCCGAUUGCGAAGGCAGUUCACUGGACUGCAACUGACACUGAGGCUCGAAAGUGUGGGUAUCAAACAGGAUUAGAUACCCCUGUAGUC